ACGCUCGACACCUACGGAGGCAGCAGUGAGGAAUAUUGGUCAAUGGGCGCUAGCCUGAACCAGCCAAGUAGCGUGAAGGAUGAAGGCUCUAUGGGUCGUAAACUUCUUUUAUAUAAGAAUAAAGUGCAGUAUGUAUACUGUUUUGUAUGUAUUAUAUGAAUAAGGAUCGGCUAACUCCGUGCCAGUAGCCGCGGUAAUCUGAGCGGGCUGGCAAGGC
rnacentral:rRNA from 1 species